rnacentral:rRNA from 1 species
UACGUAGGGGGCAAGCGUUGUCCGGAUUCAUUGGGCGUAAAGAGCGUGUAGGCGGCCAGGUAGGUCGGUUGUGAAAACUGGAGGCUCAACCUUCAGAGGUCGACCGAAACCAUCUGGCUAGAGUCCGGGAGAGGAGAGUAGAAUUCCUGGUGUAGCGGUGAAAUGCGCAGAUAUCAGGAAGAACACCCGUGGCUAAGGCGGCUCUCUAGUACGGUACUGACGCUGAGACGCGAAAGCGUGGGGAGCGAACAGG